rnacentral:rRNA from 1 species
AGUGAACGCUGGCGGUAGGCCUAACACAUGCAAGUAGAACGGCAGCACAGUAAGAGCUUGCUCUUACGGGUGGCGAGUGGCGGACGGGUGAGGAAUACAUCGGAAUCUACUUUUUCGUGGGGGAUAACGUAGGGAAACUUACGCUAAUACCGCAUACGACCUACGGGUGAAAGCAGGGGAUCUUCGGACCUUUCGCGAUUGAAUGAGCCGAUGUCGGAUUAGCUAGUUGGCGGGGUAAAGGCCCACCAAGGCGACGAUCCGUAGCUGGUCUGAGAGGAUGAUCAGCCACACUGGAACUGAGACACGGUCCAGACUCCUACGGGAGGCAGCAGUGGGGAAUAUUGGACAAUGGGCGCAAGCCUGAUCCAGCCAUGCCGCGUGGGUGAAGAAGGCCUUCGGGUUGUAAAGCCCUUUUGUUGGGAAAGAAAAGCAGCAGGUUAAUACCCCGCUGUUCUGACGGUACCCAAAGAAUAAGCACCGGCUAACUUCGUG